GAGGUUCCCAGGCUAGGGGUCCAACUGGAGCUGUAGCCACCAGCCUACACCACAGCCACAGCAAUGCAGGAUCCAAGCCAUGUCUGUGACCUACACCACAGCCACAGCAAUGCAGGAUCCAAGCCAUGUCUGUGACCUACACCACAGCUCACGGCAACGUCAGAUCCUUGACCCACUGAGCGAGGCCAAGGAUCGAACCUGCAACCUCAUGGUUCCUAGUUGGAUUCAUUUCCACUGCGCCAUGACGGGAACUCCCCCAAUGAUAUUUCUGAGUAUUGAGAUUCACCUGCAAAAUGGAGAAGCCACACCUGUUCACAAGAUGUGAGUGAGGAUUGAACAAGGUUAAGAUCAUAGAGAUUCUGGUGCUCAGUCCACGGCAGCCGUGAGGAACGUCUGAGCUAGAAGAGACCUCUGGUCCUCUGGGCCAACAGACAAGGAAAAGGAGGCCCCGAAAGAGGAGGUGAUGGGGUUCCUGUGAGGUCACAGAGUGCAGGACUUGGUGCUACAUGAAGGAGGGGGUGCAGGACGGGAGAUAUUCUGGAAUCUGUAAGACCCUAGCCAGGUGCUGGCUUUGGGUACAGGCCGAGUUGUGUGUGUGUUGAGGGUGGGGGACAGACAGGUCAUAGCUCUUUCCAGGGUGAGAGGUGCACACAGGGAUAUAAGGAUUCCCUUCUAAGGGUUCGUGACAGCAUUUUCUAAUCAGCCAAAGAAGCAUGCUGUCUGUAAGGGAAGGGAACUUAGUCUAUUUGCUCACCAUCUGAACUCUGGUUGAAGGGAUAUUCCAAGUGUGUUGACACCUUUGGUCUCCAAGCUUGGACCCACCAUGGCAGCCAAUUCUUUGUGUUGAGAUUGCUACUUGCGUUGCAAGUUCUUUGCAGUUGACCACACUCACCUUUGUAUGCCAGCAUCUGAUAGGAGCAGGUGCUCUAUAAAUACUUCUUGCAUCAAUGAACACAUCAUUUCUUCGUUUCAGGCGAUGCCAUGCCUCUCUAUCCAUCUCUGCAGGUGGUUGGCUGUGUGGUGGUGAAGGAUCCAGGUUUAGGAGUUUGACAACUGAGAGUUUAAAUCCCAUAUUUAUCAUUUAAUCCUGGUGAAUUUCUCUAAACCACUUAACCUCACAGAUGCUCAACUUCCUCAUCUAUAAAGUGAGAACAAUCAUACCUUUUUUGCCUCAUCGGAGGACUGAUACAUGGCCGUGACAUUCUGAGCAUCGUGUCUGCCCGUCACUCUCAAUAAUGGUGGCUGAUCUUUAUUGUUAUUAUAACACUGGGUAUGGCAGAUACAGACAUUUACCUUCUCUUCAUUUUUUUUUAAAGCUGAAUGCCUCUUGCUCCACAUUUUAGAAAGUGCUGUGAGGCGCUGAAGACAUAUCCCUGUGUGCUGCCUCCAGGCACCUCUUAAUGCCCACCGGGUUUGGUGCUUCAGUGAAAGAAGAGCCAAGCAAACAAUCCCCUGAUUACAACCCCAGGCACCUCAACUUCAGGUGUGUUUGCCUCGCCUGGGCGCCAGGUAAAGGCUUGCCUCUAAUAGCCUUGGCCUUCUCGUGGUGCUCACCGCCAACAGGAGAAACCUUCUGUGUGGAAAUUACUUUAAUUUGCAGUUGACAAAAGGCAAAUUGCUGGCAUUUUUUUGCUUGGAGCCUGGAAUGUAACCUUGCAUGGCUGCCCUAGACAUUCCAGGUGCUGACUUCCAUUGGCUCAGCCCAGAUUUCUCACUUAAAGGAGGGGGGAAAAGAACUUAAGUAAUUUUAAAGGGGGCAAAACCCCCAAUCAUGACUGCAUUCUAUUAACUUCUGUCCCUUCGAAUUCCUUCCCACUCUAGGCAGCACACAAAGCAGAGUCACUGUGACUUCCGAUCACGUAUGUGGUUUUCUUUGCUUAAUGUUCAGUUGUGUAUUUCCACAGUCCACAGGCUUGUAAUUAAGAGACACCAUCCCAUGAUCUACCUGUGUUUGAUUUGUGUGUGAAGUCAUGAGCACUGGGCCUUCUCUGCUUUGUUCCUUUGCACAAUACCUGGGAUGCAGUAAGGUCUCAGUACACUUUUGAUGAAGGGAUGAAUGAAUGAAUGAAUGGGUGGUUUCCAAUUUUUCCCAAGGCCAGAACGUCUUUGUCUGUCUAGCCAUCGGCUUCUAUAGCAUUCCAGAGGAAGGGCAUCCUUUAGAUGCGUUGCUGGUUGCCUUCCACUUAAAAUAUGUCCCAGAGAUGCCUGUCUCGGGCGGGGUUCCUGGAAUGCAAGCUGAAUGGAAUGCCUUGUAAAACCAGGAAGAACCUGAGGCCACUGCUGCCAUCUUGUGGACAGAAUUUGAAACAGGCGAAGUAACAGCAGUGGCCCUGUAUCCUUCCAUUUCUCCCCAAGAAUCUUGGCUGAUUCUAUGAUGGAAUAAUCUCCUUUGCAGUGCAUUAGACCAUAUUUCCAGAUCCAUGUUUAACCUGCUUAUAUUCUUCUGUUGAAAUCAUCAUCAUUACAGCAACAAUAAUAACUCACAUUUAUUGAGUUCUAGGCACUGCUAAGUGCUUCUUUAUAUUUAAAAAAAAAAAAAAAAACCUUUCCGAUGUCUGUGCUAUUAUUACCAUCUCUACUGUAGAGAAAGGAAAUAGAAGCGGCACAACUUGUACCUGGCUAGUGAGUGGGAAGUGAGAACCAGAAUUUGACCUCAGCCUGAUGGGCUCUGAGUCCAAAUCUUGGCCAUUAUUACUAACUCUUUCUUACCUUCUUUUUCUAAGUUCUUCUUCCCUCUAUUAUGAUGAUGUGUCAGUACCCGCAGUCAUAGCAGGUCUUAAUGAUUUGUUUAUGUGUUUGAUUCCCCCAAUAAGACGCUUAGCCUGUGGGAAUUGGUCAGAGCUGUUGAGAAAGGGAUUUUUUUUUUUUUUUAAUUUAAUCUCAAGCACCAACUAUGCACCAGGACUGGGCUAGAUUAAGUGAAUAUAAAGAUCUGUUAAACUGGGCAAAGGGCUUUCUCAAUAUGCUUGUCAGGGUGUUGCUAAGCCAUGGGAAUCACAUGGGAUAUAUUCCAGGGAAAUAAUUUGUAAUGGAGAUGAAAAAGGUGGUGGUGAGUGGGGGAUUAGUUAUUUCACUAGUUACUUACAACCUUAGUUUUGUAUGAACUGACCUCCCCGGAACUUCUCAGUGAAUCUUAACUGUUAGGAAAUGCAUCCAUACGUGUGUUUCUUUGUUCCUUACUGCAGCCCUGGACAGGGCUGCCCAGGUGAGAAGCAGUUCACUGCAGCUGGGAGGAAGGGAGGGAGAGUGGCAACCUUUCUUUCUGAGUUUUUCUGGGAUAGAAAGGGGCCUAAAGUGAAGAUCACAUAUUCCACAGAGCCUGACUUUUGAGUUGGGCAGCCCCAAAUGUGUUCUGUGUGCUUAGUGAAAAUUUGUAGGCACCUUUCACCUGCUAGAUUACUAGACAAAGCACUAGACAAAUCUGAUGAAAAUAAAAAGAUUGUGAAAUGGGGACUUCCCGUUAUGGCUCAGUGGUUAACGAAUCCGACUAGGAACCAUGAGGUUGCAGGUUCAAUCCCUAGCCUUGCUCAAUGGGUUAACUAUCCAGUGUUGCUGUGAGCUAUGGUGUAGGUUGCAGAUGCGGUUUGGAUCCCACGUUGCUGUGGCUCUGGACCCCUAGCCUGGGAACCUCCAUAUGUCGUGGGAGUAGCCCUAGAAAAGGCAAAAAAAAAAAAAAAAAAAAAAAAGAUUGUGAAAUGGAACAUAUAGAAUAAAUUUAUAAAUGAACACAAGACUUUAAACUUGCAGGUACACCCCGGGGGCUUGAAGUCCAUGUCCUUCUGUAUUGGGGUCGUUGGAGUAAAAUUCCCAAAGUGCCCACAUGGUAUUCCUUUAUGGGGAGGAGGUAUCAUGUGGAAUAACUGAACUCAGAACAGCUUUCUCUUUCACUUUAUUCAAGGAUGGAGGCAGGCAGGCUCAUCGAUGCCAGGCGCAAUGCCAGUAGCUUCAGGGACAUGGAUAUAGCGAGAUAGGGUCUCUGCCUCUGAUGGGAGGCUGGCAAUUUUCUCAGCCCUAAGAACCAAUGUCCUGUGAAGUAACGCCUGCAGGAGCUAAAGACUUACAUGGAAAGACAGGAGAUACAGAGAGGAAAGGUGAGCACAAGAAAGAACUAGAAAGAGGGGACAGGAGAAGCAAAAGGAAGAGACAGACUCUACAGCAGGUGAUGGAGAAGACCCCCAGGGGCCUUGGAGGCCCCUAGAAAUGUCCACCCCAGGGCCCUGGACUCAGAUCAAAGCAGCAAGUGCCCUUCCAAAAUCCCUGGUGGCCACCCUUUUCCCAUAAUCACUACAAAGACAUUCAGCUUCCUGGGUGUCCCUGGCAUUGGUGUAUUUGUUCUGAGGUCAAGGGUCUUGCAAAGGAAGUCUAUCACCAUAAUUAGUGCCAUCACACAUCAUGCUGUCCCAAUGUGCCAGCCUUCCCAGGUCGCAGGAGCUGGGUGUGCAGCCAGGUCUAGAGUGGGAAGGCCUGUGCUCAUGGUGGCAACUGCAAGGAAGAGAAGUCUCUGACACAAGCAAGAUGGUGAGAAGCUGGCAGAGCAUGGGACCAGGGCACUGGAUUGGACCAACUUCUGCAGAGAUGGCGUGGCCUCUAUCCAGGUGCCACUCCUAGGUGUCAGCCCAUCUGCAUGCAGGGGGCACAGGGACCUCACAUCCCCAGACAGCAGCUAGGGGGCCAGACCUCCCCCAGAGAGCAUGGCUUUGCGCUUUUCACCAUCUAGCUCAUUCUCAAAAGUCUGGUAGAAGAGUUCCCGCUGUGGUGCAAUGGGUUGAAGGAUCUGGUGUGGCGUAGCUGUGGCAUAUGUCGCAUCUGUGGCUCAGAUUUGAUCCCCAGCCCAGGAACUUCCAUAUGCCACAGGUGCAGCUAAAAAAAAAAAAAAAAAAAAAAACUCUGGCAGAAAGAAAACAUACUUGGGCAAGAACUGAAAAGAUGUGCUGCUUAUAGGAGUUAUGUGUCAGCUGUAAGAGCAGUCCCUCAAAGGAUUGUGCUUUCCUAUCACAUUCUGACUUUUGUUAAAACUCAUUAUGGGGAGUUCCUGCUGCGGCUCAGGGGGGUAAUGAGCCUGACUAGUAUCCAUGAGGAUGCAGGCUUGAUUCCUAGCCUUGCUCAGUGGAUUAAGGAUCUGGCAUUGACAGGAGCUGCAGUGUAGGUUGCAGAUGUGACUCGGAUCCCACGUUGCUAUGGCUGUGGUGUAGGCUGUAGCUCCAAUUCGACCCCUAGCCUGGGAACUUCCAUAUGCCACAGGUGUGGCCCUAAAACGCAAGAAAAAUUUUUUAAUUUUAUUGAGGUAUAGUUGAUUUAUAAUGAUUCAGGGGUACAGCAAAGCGAUUCAGUUUUAUACAUAUGUAUACGUAUAUACUUUUUCAGAUAAUUUUCCAUUAUAGAUUAUCACAAAAUACUGAAUAUAGUUCCCUGUGCUAUACAGUAGGUCUUCGCUAUCUAUCUACUUUAUACAUAGGAGCGUAUCUGUUAAUUCCCAAAUCCUAAUUUAUCUCCCCCCACACUCCUCACUAUCCCCUUUGAUAACCAUCUAUUUGUUUUCAAUGUCUGAGUCUCUGUUUUAUAAAUAGCUUCAUUUGUAUCUUUUUUUUAAAAUUCCACAUAUAGGUGAUAUCAUAUAUUUGUCUUUCCUCCUCUAACUUCACUUAGUAUGAUAAUUUCUAGGUACAUCCAUGUUGCUGCAAUGGCAUUAUUUCAUUUUUUAUAGCCAAAUAGUAUUCCAUUGUGUAAAUAUGCCACAUCUUUUUUAUCCAUUCAUCUGUUGAUGGACAUUUAGGUUGUUUCCAUGUCAUGGCUAUUGUAAAUGGUGCUGCAAUGAACGCUGGGGUGCAUGAAUCUUUUGAAGUAUGUACCCAGGAGUAGAAUUGCUGGAUCAUAUGGCAAAUCUAUUUUUAGUUGUUUUUUUAAUUUAUUUUUUUAUUAAAGUGUAAUUGAUUUAUAGUGUUGUCUCAAUUUCUGCUGUACAGCAUAGUGACCCAGUCGUACAUAUAUACACACUCCUUUUCUCCUACUGUCCUCCAUCAUGUUCCAUCCCAAGAGAUUGGACAUAGUUUCCCAUGCUAUAGAGCAAGACCUCAUUGCCUAUCCAUCAUCAUUAUUAUUAUUAUUAUUAUUAUUUUGCUUUUUUAGGGCCACACUCAAGGCACAUGUAAGUUCCCAGGCUUGGGGUCGAAUCAGAGCUACAGCUGCCUGCCUA
rnacentral:lncRNA from 9 species